rfam:Fukomys damarensis contig118742, whole genome shotgun sequence.
AGGGAUGUAGCUCAGUGGCACUGCACCUGCCUGGCAAGUACAAGGUCCUGAGUUCAAUUCCCAGUAUCCCCC